rnacentral:tRNA from 1 species
GGUCAAGUAGCUCAGUAGGUUAGAGCACUGUCCCCAGAUGGCAGGGGUCUGGGUUCAAUUCCCAGCUUGGUCA